rnacentral:tRNA from 1 species
UCCCUGGUGGUUCAGUGGCUAAGACGCCACACUUCCAAAGCACAGGGAGCCUGAGUUCAAUUCUCGGUCAGGGAA